rnacentral:rRNA from 1 species
CAGGUCUUGACAUCCUCUGACAACCCUAGAGAUAGGGCUUUCCCUUCGGGGACAGAGUGACAGGUGGUGCAUGGUUGUCGUCAGCUCGUGUCGUGAGAUGUUGGGUUAAGUCCCGCAACGAGCGCAACCCUUGAUCUUAGUUGCCAGCAUUCAGUUGGGCACUCUAAGGUGACUGCCGGUGACAAACCGGAGGAAGGUGGGGAUGACGUCAAAUCAUCAUGCCCCUUAUGACCUGGGCUACACACGUGCUACAAUGGACAGAACAAAGGGCUGCGAGACCGCAAGGUUUAGCCAAUCCCACAAAUCUGUUCUCAGUUCGGAUCGCAGUCUGCAACUCGACUGCGUGAAGCUGGAAUCGCUAGUAAUCGUGGAUCAGCAUGCCGCGGUGAAUACGUUCCC